rnacentral:tRNA from 1 species
UCUUAUUAGCUCAAUGGUAGAGCAGGGUGCUUCUAAUAUCCGGAUCUAGGUUCGAGUCCUAGAUAGGAAUU